rnacentral:rRNA from 1 species
AGAGUUUGAUCAUGGCUCAGGACGAACGCUGGCGGCGUGCUUAACACAUGCAAGUCGAACGAUGAACCACUUCGGUGGGGAUUAGUGGCGAACGGGUGAGUAACACGUGGGCAAUCUGCCCUUCACUCUGGGACAAGCCCUGGAAACGGGGUCUAAUACCGGAUACCACUCCUCAAGGCAUCUUGGGGGGUUGAAAGCUCCGGCGGUGAAGGAUGAGCCCGCGGCCUAUCAGCUUGUUGGUGAGGUAAUGGCUCACCAAGGCGACGACGGGUAGCCGGCCUGAGAGGGCGACCGGCCACACUGGGACUGAGACACGGCCCAGACUCCUACGGGAGGCAGCAGUGGGGAAUAUUGCACAAUGGGCGAAAGCCUGUUGCAGCGACGCCGCGUGAGGGAUGACGGCCUUCGGGUUGUAAACCUCUUUCAGCAGGGAAGAAGCGAAAGUGACGGUACCUGCAGAAGAAGCGCCGGCUAACUACGUGCCAGCAGCCGCGGUAAUACGUAGGGCGCAAGCGUUGUCCGGAAUUAUUGGGCGUAAAGAGCUCGUAGGCGGCUUGUCACGUCGGGUGUGAAAGCCCGGGGCUUAACCCCGGGUCUGCAUUCGAUACGGGCUAGCUAGAGUGUGGUAGGGGAGAUCGGAAUUCCUGGUGUAGCGGUGAAAUGCGCAGAUAUCAGGAGGAACACCGGUGGCGAAGGCGGAUCUCUGGGCCAUUACUGACGCUGAGGAGCGAAAGC